rnacentral:rRNA from 1 species
GUUUCGGAUCUCAGAUCAAGCAAGAGGACC